rnacentral:rRNA from 1 species
GGGUUGUGAGGUUAAGCGACUAAGCGUACACGGUGGAUGCCCUGGCAGUCAGAGGCGAUGAAGGACGUGCUAAUCUGCGAUAAGCGUCGGUAAGGUGAUAUGAACCGUUAUAACCGGCGAUUUCCGAAUGGGGAAACCCAGUGUGAUUCGUCACACUAUCAUUAACUGAAUCCAUAGGUUAAUGAGGCGAACCGGGGGAACUGAAACAUCUAAGUACCCCGAGGAAAAGAAAUCAACCGAGAUUCCCCCAGUAGCGGCGAGCGAACGGGGAGGAGCCCAGAGCCUGAAUCAGUGUGUGUGUUAGUGGAAGCGUCUGGAAAGGCGCGCGAUACAGGGUGACAGCCCCGUACACAAAAAUGCACAUACUGUGAGCUCGAUGAGUAGGGCGGGACACGUGGUAUCCUGUCUGAAUAUGGGGGGACCAUCCUCCAAGGCUAAAUACUCCUGACUGACCGAUAGUGAACCAGUACCGUGAGGGAAAGGCGAAAAGAACCCCGGCGAGGGGAGUGAAAAAGAACCUGAAACCGUGUACGUACAAGCAGUGGGAGCACGCUUCGGCGUGUGACUGCGUACCUUUUGUAUAAUGGGUCAGCGACUUAUAUUCUGUAGCAAGGUUAACCGAAUAGGGGAGCCGAAGGGAAACCGAGUCUUAACUGGGCGUUAAGUUGCAGGGUAUAGACCCGAAACCCGGUGAUCUAGCCAUGGGCAGGUUGAAGGUUGGGUAACACUAACUGGAGGACCGAACCGACUAAUGUUGAAAAAUUAGCGGAUGACUUGUGGCUGGGGGUGAAAGGCCAAUCAAACCGGGAGAUAGCUGGUUCUCCCCGAAAGCUAUUUAGGUAGCGCCUCGUGAAUUCAUCUCCGGGGGUAGAGCACUGUUUCGGCAAGGGGGUCAUCCCGACUUACCAACCCGAUGCAAACUGCGAAUACCGGAGAAUGUUAUCACGGGAGACACACGGCGGGUGCUAACGUCCGUCGUGAAGAGGGAAACAACCCAGACCGCCAGCUAAGGUCCCAAAGUCAUGGUUAAGUGGGAAACGAUGUGGGAAGGCCCAGACAGCCAGGAUGUUGGCUUAGAAGCAGCCAUCAUUUAAAGAAAGCGUAAUAGCUCACUGGUCGAGUCGGCCUGCGCGGAAGAUGUAACGGGGCUAAACCAUG